CAACCCUCAAGCCCCCGGGCUUGGUGUUGGGGAUCGGCGAGCCUUCGCGCCCGCCGUCCCCUAAAUCUAGUGGCGGUCUCGCUGUAGCUUCCUCUGCGUAGUAGCACACCUCGCACUGGGAAACAGCGCGGCCACGCCGUUAAACCCCCAACUUCUGAAAGU
rnacentral:misc_RNA from 1 species